ACCCAGCCGACGAGUCCCAGAUGGGACGAAACGCGCGUCCUGAAU
rfam:Schistosoma margrebowiei strain Zambia genome assembly, scaffold: SMRZ_contig0002942